rnacentral:misc_RNA from 1 species
GAUGAAGAACGUAGCGAAAUGCGAUAAGUAAUGUGAAUUGCAGAAUUCAGUGAAUCAUCGAAUCUUUGAACGCACAUUGCGCCCGCCAGUAUUCUGGCGGGCAUGCCUGUUCGAGCGUCAUUUCAACCCUCAAGCCCAGCUUGGUGUUGGGGAUCGGCACAGGCGCCCUCGGGCGCCCGCCGUCCCCUAAAUCUAGUGGCGGUCCCGCUGCAGCCUCCUCUGCGUAGUAGUUUUCUCCUCGCAAGGGCAGCUCGGUGGCGACCUCGCUGUAAAACCCCCAACUUCUGAAAGGUUGACCUCGAAUCAGGUAGGAAUACCCGCUGAACUUAAGCAUAUCAAUAAGCGGAGGA